GAUGAACGCUGACAGAAUGCUUAACACAUGCAAGUCUUUGGCGAAGCUGUGCUUGCACAGCCUAGCCAAGGCGGACGGGUGAGUAACGCGUAAGGAACUUGCCCUGCAGUCAGGGAUAACAGACGGAAACGACUGAUAAGACCUGGUAAAGUCAGGCGGACUCAUGUCCAGCCUGAUGAAAAGAGAUGCUGCAGGAGAGCCUUGCGUCCUAUUAGCUUGUUGGUGGGGUAACGGCCCACCAAGGCGAUGAUAGGUAGCCGGCCUGAGAGGGUGGACGGCCACAAGGGGACUGAGAUACGGCCCUUACUCCUACGGGAGGCAGCAGUGGGGAAUAUUGGACAAUGGGGGCAACCCUGAUCCAGCAAUUCUGUGUGCACGAUGAAGGUUUUCGGAUUGUAAAGUGCUUUCUGCAGGGAAGAAAAAAUGACGGUACCUGCAGAAGAAGCGACGGCUAAAUACGUG
rnacentral:rRNA from 1 species